GACGAACGCUGGCGGCGUGCUUAACACAUGCAAGUCGAACGGGGCCCCUCCUUCGGGAGGGUGUCCUAGUGGCGAACGGGUGAGUAACACGUGGGCAACCUGCCCCCGGCUCUGGGAUAACCCCAAGAAAUUGGGGCUAAUACCGGAUAUGACCGCUGACCGCAUGGUCUGGUGGUGGAAAGAUUUUUACGGCUGGGGAUGUGCCCGCGGCCUAUCAGCUUGUUGGUGGGGUAGUGGCCUACCAAGGCGACGACGGGUAGCCGGCCUGAGAGGGUGACCGGCCACACUGGGACUGAGACACGGCCCAGACUCCUACGGGAGGCAGCAGUGGGGAAUAUUGCGCAAUGGGCGGAAGCCUGACGCAGCGACGCCGCGUGGGGGAUGACGGCCUUCGGGUUGUAAACCUCUUUCAGCAGGGACGAAGCGAAAGUGACGGUACCUGCAGAAGAAGCACCGGCCAACUACGUGCCAGCAGCCGCCGUAA
rnacentral:rRNA from 1 species